GUUAACUUCUCUUAAGGCCAGAAGAGACCAUUAAAUCAUCUGCCUGACCUCCCCCGUUACAGGGCCCUAUAAUUUCAUCCAGUUCCUAAGGCAUUAAGGCCAAUAAUUUGUGUGUGAGUAAAAGGUGCAUUCCAGAAAGGCCGCUGGUUCUGAGGAUUUCAAGAGAUGGCGAUUUUGCUCCCACCCUGGAGAGUUCCUUGGGGCAGUUAACCCCUGGUUAAGGGAUGAGCCUAAUUUCCGUGACAAGUUGCCUUUGCUUAAAUUACUCCGAAUUAGCAGCAUGUGUUUUGCAGUCUGAGAGUGCGGUUGCUGCGCUGUGGCCGCCCCAGUUUUCCCCUUCCUUUUGCCCAGGUUCCACGCCUGAUAUCCGCAUGGAGAAGGCCCUGGCUCUUCUUGGGCUGCCUAGGGACUCCCGAGCCACCCAGCUUCUAGGUCAGCCUGUUCGGUGACUGCAGAAGUGAAGAGCAGCAGCGCCUCCAGCCGGGUAGGCCAAUGGGACAUACCAUUGAAAACCAGGACCUAAUCCCGCUUUACUGUAGAAUCACGGCCUAACGUGUCUUCCUGACCAAGUCAGCAUCCAGCAGGAGGAGGAUGAGGUGAAUGCUGUUGGCAGGCACACCAGCAUGGAUGAAGCAAAUCCGGCUUCAGAGAAACAGCCCCUAACUGCUUGUGUGAGCCUGAGGCUUCUAAUGUGAGGAAAAACACGCGGUGACAAGUGUGGAAAAGAGCAAGCACUAAAUUACUGUCAGAAAAAUAAACGGCGGAGCGCUGUGCUGCGCAGUGAUUUACGGGGGCAAUUAGCCACAGCCCCAAGGAGCCGCCGCGGCACCCCCCGGUGCUGGCCCGGCUCCUGCACCCAGCCCGGGCACCCGGGGCUCGUCUGCCCCUCCCGCGGCUCUUGUUUUGCCUACCCCAGGAAUGGGGAUGUGGAGAAGGGAACUGCCUCAAAAGCCAGAGGCUGGGUUUGCGGGGAAGGUGUGAGCGCUGCGGACCUGCUUAUUCAUUGUGCCCAGGUGUGGGGUGAUUGAAAAGAUGGGGAACUACAGUUAAAGAAAAAGUAUUCCUGGAGAAGGGAAGCUGGAAAGCAGGGUGGGAAAGCUGCUGGGGCUGGAGGAGGGGGCUCUGCAGCUGCUGCAUGUCUUCUGGAGGUGUUGUGGGCCAUUAGGCAUCUGGGCAGCCCAGGAGAAGGGCCAGCUCUGCUGCUAGCUGGGGGUGGACAUUAAACAAGCUUAAUGCUGUUGUUUCACCAGGAGAGAUGUUUUAAUCUGAAGCUAGCAACAAAGUAUAGACAGUCCAAGCUCCAGUUCAACCUGAACCAUGACAGUGAGCUCCCAGACAGCACAUUGCAGGGCUCCCUAGGGAGCAGCUGGAAGGAUCACCAAACCCUGGUAUACAGAAUCACAGACUGGUUCGGGCUGGAAAGGACCUUAAAGCUCAUCCAGUUCCAACCCACUGCCAUGGGCAGGGAUACCUUCCACUAGAGCAGGUUGCUCCAAGCCCCACCUAACCUGGCCUUGAACACUGCCAGGGAUGGGGCAGCUACAGCUU